UACGUAGGGGGCAAGCGUUGUCCGGAAUCAUUGGGCGUAAAGCGCGUGUAGGCGGCCCGGUAAGUCCGCUGUGAAAGUCCAGGGCUCAACCCUGGGAUGCCGGUGGAUACUGUCGGGCUCGAGUCCGGAAGAGGCGAGUGGAAUUCCUGGUGUAGCGGUGAAAUGCGCAGAUAUCAGGAGGAACACCAAUGGCGAAGGCAGCUCGCUGGGACGUGACUGACGCUGAGACGCGAAAGCAUGGGGAGCGAACAGG
rnacentral:rRNA from 1 species